CUUCCCCCACCACCCCUCGGCGAGGAGUAAGUGCCACCGCUCCGCCUUCUCCUUUUCGCAAUGUUGACGCAAUCUAUAAAUAGUGGAACAAAAGGACCAACUUCCUCGCAGCUUUGCUGAAACUGCACAAAAAAGGCAACCGGGGGGGGGGACACACACGCGGUUAUUUUUUGAUUUUAUUUUUCUCUGGUUAAAAGGCGAAUCCUCCUCCUCCCUUCCUCCCUCUCUCUCCUUCCCCCCCUCCCCUCCCUCCCUACUGGAAGAUCUUUUUUAUUUUCUCUUGCUGCCUCCUAUGCUGGCAACGUCCUGCGAGUGGCUAUUUUGCUUUUGCACCGAGAGAAGAGCUUCCCCCCUCGCCCUCUCUUCUGACACUUAUGGAUGAAAUCUACACUGAUGUCUAACCUAUAAUGAGUGCCAAUGUUUUGACCUUUCAAUAGAGAGCUGAUUUUGGAGAACGGCUUACUCCUGUGAUUGAAAAACUCUCUGGAAGGUUGAUGGAGCAUGAGCAUGAUUUUUCUCUUACAGGAGAAUCUUUCAUUGAGAUGAUUGAAAUUGCUGCAAUGAGAAUGGAAAUUACUUAGGCUCCUUUCCUUUUAAAAGCUGUAUGCGAGAACUGUGUGACAGGGUUGUAUGCACUCUUCUUAGAUCCUCAAGACAAGAAAAUACCAGUUGCUAACUACAGGCAUCACAAGACCAUAGGCUUUCCAACCCUGCAGGCCUACAUGCCCUCCAGCAAAGCAGCACAAGACUCAAAGAGGAAAAAAAAAAGAGAAAACUUCCUUCUGUAUUGCAAUUCACCUGCUUCUUUCAUCCACAUGGAAGUGUGACUGUUUGCACCAGAACAUUUUGAAUAUUUUUAAAGUUGUACCUCUUCCUUUCAAGCACUGAAAUGGUUUUGUAAUGUGUUAAAGCCUACCAACUGUCACAGAGAUUUGUGUAUUCUAUUUUAGUCACUCAUUGAUUCCUUUUGGUCACAAGGUGUUUUAUGAGAACAUGUUAGAUCAUUGGUACCACUGCUUCUUUUCCUAUGGAAGAGAGAUUCCCUUUUUAUUUCUUAAAAAGGGAUGGGGAAAGGUGGUAGUGAGCUCAUUCCAAUUCCAGUACAGUAUUCGCUUAGGCUGUCCCAGAUCUCAAGAAAUGUAAAUACGUACAGCUGAAAGAUCAGAUACAGAGAAAUGUUUUCAGCCAGCAGUUUAUCACUACCAAGUUAGAAAGCCCUGAGAGCUCUGAGCUUUCAAAACAGUUAUUUCCACACUGUUACCCACCCUGCCUGAAGGAACUGUGUGCUCUUUCCAGCAGGCGUCAUUGCCUCCAGUGUAAGACCUGUGUGCUUGUCACUGCCUGUUUCAGAACAAAAACCCACAUAUGCAUGCAUGUCCUGAACAUUCCCUAAGUGAUCUAAGAACUGUCAUUACAUCCUUCACUCAUGGCUUUGUCUUGCUCCUGAGGGUAGACAAGAAGUCAGCAUAGAUCCCUGCACAGAACAGAGAUGAUCCAAACCAUACCAGUCUGAUGUUCCAUUAGCCUUCUGUGACUUCCCAUAACAUUCAGCUUUUCUAUUCAGUCUCAGAGCCUACCUCAGAAGCUCACUGAGAGCAUGGAUCAUGGGUCAGAGGGUGGUGAGGCACUGGCACAGGUGUCCCAGAGACUCUGUGGAAGCCCCAUCCCUGGAAUUGUUCAAGAGCCAGUGGAAUGGGGCUUGAAGCAACCUGGUGUAGUGGAAGGUGUCCCUGCCCAUGGCAGAGGGACUGGAACCAGAUAAUCUUUAAGGUUCCUUCCAACCCGAGCUAUUCUGUGAUUCUAGGGGUCAGACUUUCAAUAGCUUAGCACAAGACACUGUUAUAGCACAGCUUAUGAGGGUAAACCAUAGCCAAAAGAGGAGUUGCUCAGGUGUUCCUGUGCCUGCCUGGGCAUUUUCCAGCUGGGAGUCUCCAAAACAUAAAUCUUGCAAAAAGACAAUUGUUUGCCCAUCAUUUUUCCAACAUGUAUUUGUAGAGAUUUUGGGACUGUAUAUUGACAGUGAAGUCCAGAUUGCACAAUCACACUUCAAUUGUCAAAGAAAUCUUACGAAAUAGAAGCAGACAGCAGUUUUAGCCUAACCAAUCAUGGAAGAAGCUUCUGUUACAUCAGUGACCAUGCAGGUACAAUGUUUCCCUUACAUUCUUGACAUGGCCAUAUUUAAGCUAUUAAAGUGUUCUGAAGAUCCAUGAUUUACUGAGCCAUCUUCAGAAGAUAAUGUUUUGAACAACUAUACGUAGCAAAUGAAUAUUUUAUGGCUUAAGGACAGAAUUUCAAAUGGAGAAAACAAAAGAUGUAAACAAGUCUUUUCCAGGAAAUACCCUUCUAGUUUAUGGAAAACUAGGAACUUAGUGAUAGGGUUAGUGCUCACUGUAGUGCAACUGGCAUUGAAACAAAGGCCACCAACAGGACACAUCCAGGAAGUAUUCAGUAGGCUUAUCACCCGAGCACAACCAAAACAGUGAUGUUAUUCUGAUCUUCAAAGUUUAUCUAUUUGACCUCCAAAAUCUUAGCUUUUGUUUCCAGGUGUGAGGUAUCAACAUGACUAAUCCAUCUGAUGCCUGGAUCCUGCGAUGUUUCAUUUCACAGCACAUAUGCAGAAAUUACCUCCUAAAGAGAAAUUUUCUUCUUCAGGUAUGCAAACUAUUCCUGGAAGAUAUUCUACAGAUGCAUUAACCUAACACAUUGGAAAAAACAAAACAUCCCUAUAGUCUCAUGAACAUGUAAGUCUCCUGUCCAUGUUAUUCUGUGCCAUUUCCAGGUUUGUAUAGCAGCUAUUAUCCACCCAUUUGUUCACCCCUGUGAGAUCUGCUUUUUCUUGUCCAGUGGCAUUGACAUUUCUGGCAGCUCUGUCCCUCUCCUCAAUACAGUAAGUUGUGUGCUUUUGGUCCCACAAAGGCCAUGACUCUUUCCAGCCUAAUUUAUUCCUUUACUUCCUCUCUGUAAUGGGAAGGAAGUGAGUUUGCUGCCUUCUGUGGAUCUCUGCCUGUCCUUACCAUGUAGCCCUUUCCUCUGUUCUACCAGGACCCAGCUGAGGAGCACGCUGAAGACACAGUAAAAACACAAAGAUUAAAGGAUGGAAGGAUCAGCAUGCCUUCUGUUUACUGUUGAGUACAACAUUGUAAAUAAACCGGUAUGCCAGCAAUUAUUUUAUUACUCAGUUUAGAUAUCACUGGGGGAACAAAAACAAAAACCAUAAACCAGCCUUUUCAGAAGGCCCUCAAUGAAAGCUACAAACUGCCUUUGAAAUUCAAAGAAAACUCAGUUCCUGACUCCAAAGUACCAGUAAAACCCCAGACUUGAUGUUUCCAAUCUAUUGCCUUUUUUUUCCAGUGGAGAAUCAGGAUGGAACAAUGUUGCAAUGUUUAAUUCUUCACAGUUUCAGCAAGCACUCAGCUGACUGCUGUAAGAGUAACUUGCUUAGAAAGCAAAGCCCUAAAUUAAUUUUCUACAGCAGACUUGUACACAUUAGUUUCCAACCUUUAGGGCUACAUUCAUCAUCCUUCUG